rnacentral:rRNA from 1 species
CGGGUGACGAACACGUCAACCUUCCUUUAACUGGAGAAUAGCCCCUCGAAAGAGGGAUUAAUACUCCGUAACAUCCCGAUGUGGCAUCACAACGGGAUUAUAGCUCCGGCGGUUAAAGAUGGGCGUGCGCCUGAUUAGAUAGUUGGCGGGGUAACGGCCCACCAAGUCUGCGAUCAGUAACUGGUGUGAGAGCACGACCAGUCACACGGGCACUGAGACACGGGCCCG